GACAGAGGUCUCAAGCGUUAGGCGGAAUCACUGGGCUUAAAGCGUGUGUAGGCGGAUCGUUAAGUGCCUUGUGAAAUCCCACGGCUCAACCGUGGAACUGCUUGGCAUACUGGCGGUCUUGAGCCAUCUAGGGGUCGCUGGAACAAACGGUGGAGCGGUGAAAUGCGUAGAUAUCGUUUGGAACGCCAAUGGUGAAAAACAGGUCGCUGGGGAUGAGCUGGACG
rnacentral:rRNA from 1 species